rnacentral:rRNA from 1 species
AACAAACGCUGGCGGCGUGCCUAACACAUGCAAGUCGUACGAGAAAGGGUCCUUCGGGACCUGAGUAAAGUGGCGCACGGGUGAGUAACGCGUGGAUAAUCUGCCCUUCAGUUGGGAAUAACUCAUCGAAAGGUGGGCUAAUACCGAAUGAUACUGCGAGACUUUGGUUGAGCAGUCAAAGAGAGCCUCUGCUUGCAAGCUUUUACUGAAGGUUGAGUCCGCGUACCAUUAGCUAGUUGGUAGGGUAAUGGCCUACCAAGGCGACGAUGGUUAGCUGGUCUGAGAGGAUGAUCAGCCACACUGGAACUGAGAUACGGUCCAGACUCCUACGGGUGGCUG